rnacentral:rRNA from 1 species
AGCGAACGCUGGCGGCAGGCCUAACACAUGCAAGUCGAACGAAGUCUUCGGACUUAGUGGCGGACGGGUGAGUAACACGUGGGAACGUACCUUUUGGUUCGGAACAACUCAGGGAAACUUGAGCUAAUACCGGAUGAGCCCUUAGGGGGAAAGAUUUAUCGCCGAAAGAGCGGCCCGCGUUAGAUUAGCUAGUUGGUGUGGUAAAGGCUCACCAAGGCUACGAUCUAUAGCUGGUCUGAGAGGAUGAUCAGCCACACUGGGACUGAGACACGGCCCAGACUCCGACGGGAGGCAGCAGUGUGGAAUCUUGCGCAAUGGGCGAAAGCCUGACGCAGCCAUGCCGCGUGAAUGAUGAAGGUCUUAGGAUUGUAAAAUUCUUUUACCAGGGACGAUAAUGACGGUACCUGGAGAAAAAGCCCCGGCUAACUUCGUGCCAGCCGCCGCCGUAACAC